rnacentral:rRNA from 1 species
UUCCGGUUGAUCCUGCCGGACCUGACUGCUAUCGGAUUGAUACUAAGCCAUGCUAGUCUUUGUAGUAAUACAAGGCAUACGGCUCAGUAACACGUAGUCAACUUACCCUAUGGACGAGGAUAAUCUCGGGAAACUGAGCAUAAUACUCGAUAGAUCAUAAUGCCUGGAAUGGUUUAUGGUUAAAAUGAUUCGUCGCCAUAGGAUGGGACUGCGGCCUAUCAGCUUGUUGGUGAGGUAAUGGCCCACCAAGGCGAUUACAGGUACGGGCUCUGAGAGGAGAAGCCCGGAGAUGGGUACUGAGACAAGGACCCAGGCCCUAUGGGGCGCAGCAGGCGAGAAAACUUUGCAAUGUGCGAAAGCACGACAAGGUUAAUCCGAGUGAUUUCUGCUAAAGAAAUCUUUUGCAAGUCAUAAAACCACUAGUGAAUAAGGGGUGGGCAAGUUCUGGUGUCAGCCGCCGCGGUAAAACCAGCACCUCAAGUGGUCAGGAGGAUUAUUGGGCCUAAAGCAUCCGUAGCCGGCUCUGUAAGUUUUCGGUUAAAUCCAUGUGCUCAACGCAUGGGCUGCCGAAAAUACUGCAUAGCUAGGGAGUGGGAGAGGUAGACGGUACUCAGUAGGAAGGGGUAAAAUCCUUUGAUCUAUUGAUGACCACCUGUGGCGAAGGCGGUCUACCAGAACACGUUCGACGGUGAGGGAUGAAAGCUGGGGGAGCAAACCGGAUUAGAUACCCGGGUAGUCCCAGCUGUAAACGAUGCAGACUCGAUGAUGCAUUGGCAUAUAGCCAGUGCAGUGUCGCAGGGAAGCCGUUAAGUCUGCCGCCUGGGAAGUACGUACGCAAGUAUGAAACUUAAAGGAAUUGGCGGGGGAGCACCACAAGGGGUGAAGCCUGCGGUUCAAUUGGAGUCAACGCCGG